rnacentral:lncRNA from 1 species
UUAUACUGGGCAUCCUAUUUGACAUGGUUUAAAAAAUACAGGUGGAAAGGGAAAGAGAUCCGUUGCUAAGCAGCCCAUGUUUCAGUCUCCCCUUGACUCGUUCCUGGCCAUUGGUUGGGUUGUUAUUUUAUGAGCUUCUCAGAUGUUCAGGUCAGCUGACCCUGGGGAGUAGUGUGGUGCAAGAAACGCUAAGGAGGAAACGAUACCAGCCCAUGAGUGGGUCAGACACGGUCUAGCUGGGGAGACAUACAAAUUACAGGUGUCACCCUAAAUUUUCUUAAGAGUAAACUUAGCAGCGUCUGUGACUUUGAAGUCACCUCAUCUGCUCCCCUCCAUUCCUGCUCCCUUCAGCUGCCUUUUCUGUGAAUGUAAGCAAUGUCAUCCUGUCAUUGUGAAGAUCUAAUGGUGCCUUGUGCUAAAGGUUGAGCAAGCCCAUCUUCAGUGUGGGUCACAUGAUCAAGUCGUGUUAAAGAGAUCUACCUCCAUCCACUGACAAGCCAUCCUGCCACGUGCUAGACAUCGGUGUGAAGGAGAAGAACACAGAGACCAUUCCUGAACAAGGAAGGUGUGCAGGAGAAUGGAACAGGGGCCAAGACUGUACUUCAGAGAGAUGGGAGGCCAGGGCUCGGGGUUCCCAGUAGGAGAAUGGAUCUCUAGAAGCAGUCUGUGGAGGCCAUGUCUUCUUCACUGAGCUCUUCAAAUAGCAUCAUGUGUGCUCUUUUACUGCAUUGCGCCCAAUGUCUA